AUUUUACAAUUUAAGGGAACAUUUCAAUAAAAAUAAUACAUUCAUUCAUACAAUGUUUUUGCAGAUUGUAUUCUGGUAGUUUUGUUCUGAUUUUUCAUAAUUUUCUCCGUUGACUGCUCGCUCUUAGAUAUGGCCUUCGCCUUGGCUUUUGUUUUCCUAACAUUCUUUGAUCGCUUCAUUGGCCUUCCCUUUUUCAACUUUAAAUUGGGAGCGCCGGAAGCUGGUUUAUGAACUGCAGACUCAGACACGUCCAUCGCUUGAGGGCGGUCGUGAACAGUGUUUUCGGUUACAUCCAUUGAAAUAGGCCCACUUCGCUUCUUCUUAUUCCGGUUCUUCGCCAUCGCCGAG
rnacentral:misc_RNA from 1 species